CAGCAGUGAGGAAUAUUGGUCAAUGGCCGGGAGGCUGAACCAGCCAAGUCGCGUGAGGGAAGACGGCCCUACGGGUUGUAAACCUCUUUUGUCAGGGAGCAAGGGGCGGGUCGGGACCUGCUGUGAGAGUACCUGAAGAAAAAGCAUCGGCUAACUCCGUGCCAGCAGCCGCGGUAAUACGGAGGAUGCGAGCGUUAUCCGGAUUUAUUGGGUUUAAAGGGUGCGCAGGCGGAGGCACAAGUCAGCGGUAAAAUCGCGGGGCUCAACCCCGCUCCGCCGUUGAAACUGUGUCCCUUGAGUGCGCGAAGGGUAGGCGGAAUGCGUGGUGUAGCGGUGAAAUGCAUAGAUAUCACGCAGAACUCCGAUCGCGAAGGCAGCCUACCGGCGCGCGACUGACGCUCAUGCACGAAAGCGUGGGUAUCGAACAGGAUUAGA
rnacentral:rRNA from 1 species